UUCAAGUCUGUCUCUCGAACCUACAGCAGACACAAUCCCCGCUUGAUAUCUAGAUUCUCCUGUUCCUCCUGCAAAACCAGCCGGCCAGACAAGAAGGCCUGCAGUUGGAAGAAGAUCAAGGGGAAAGGCAGGCCUCGCUCGACUUGGUGAAGAGCAUCACAACGUGACUAUCCCAUGAUGAGAGAGAGCUUCCUUUCGGCAUUAUGUCAGCCUCAGCACUCGGAUUAAUUCACCUGAAGAAGACCUAGUCGAAACCGGUCGUGAUCUACUGUGAUCUACUUGCUCUUCAGCUCAACUAACUGAUUGAAUAAGUGAACAAUUAUAUAUAGAAUGUACACUGUUGAGCUAGACAGUCAUUGUUGAUGUAUGAAUUGUGUUUAUUACAAUUGUGAAUUCUGAACAUAUUGUAUUUUAUCCUAUAUGAGUUUAUACUUUAUACCUGUUGACUGAACAUUACUAAAGCAUAUUACUGUAUUUGUGGGUAUCUAUUACCUUCCAGUGCACAACAUGGAGAAAGGGAGCCCCUUUGUUCCUUGUUGUAGGCAAGAAAGUGUCUUGGCCAUAUAUUGCACUGGGAUCACUCUUCAAUCAUAAGUGAUCCUCCAAGGCUGAGAAAGUGUCAGAUGCAAAACAACAUGCCUGUAGAUAUUGUCCAUGCAUAAUACAAAGUAGGAAGAUUUGUUCAUAGGCAAGUAUUGCUAAAUAUCUGGGGUUCAGGCAAAAACUAUAGAAGCACACUAUGUAUGUUUUUAUAAUCAGUUGUUCCGACUGAUGUAGCAUGAAAAGACAUCCAACGCUGUUUGUACCUAAAGAGGAUCAACAAACCAAACAUCUUGGGCAAUUUUACUUUAAAAGAAGAACCCUGCACUAUAAUAAAUUACUUCUGUCAACCUC